rnacentral:rRNA from 1 species
UACGGAGGGUGCGAGCGUUGUCCGGAAUCACUGGGCGUAAAGCGCACGUAGGCGGAUCUUUAAGUCAGGGGUGAAAUCCUGGAGCUCAACUCCAGAACUGCCUUUGAUACUGGGGAUCUCGAGUCCGGAAGAGGUGAGUGGAACUCCGAGUGUAGAGGUGAAAUUCGUAGAUAUUCGGAAGAACACCAGUGGCGAAGGCGGCUCACUGGUCCGGUACUGACGCUGAGGUGCGAAAGCGUGGGGAGCAAACAGG